GAAUAAAAAAAUUAUUCAUUUUUAUUAUUUAUUUAUUAUUAAUAUUUUGGUGAAUCGUUGAAUAAAAUCAACUGAAAGGGAAAUCAUUUCGCCCUUUUUUUUUAUUUAAUUACACGUCGUAAACCUAUACAACAAGAAUUAUUGACAAAAAUUCUUAUAUUCAAAUUGUUUUAACAAUGAAUUAAUAAUGAGAUGGACUAAGCAAUCUAAAGUGAAUAUUCAUUGAGACGAAGUAUGAUAUUAAGUGAAGGAAAGGGGAAUUUUAGGAAAAAGAUCUAAAAACAAAGAUCUUUUUCCCCUUACUCUUUAAUAUCAUCGUAAUGUUUUUGCUAUCACUCUAGAUCGUAUAUAGCAUAGUUGUAUAUUUAGAUUCCCCUAUUCUAUUCCGUAAGUUAAGUAAUUCUCUUAAGCCACCCACCAUAUACAUUUAUACAUUGCUGUGGGCUAAGCUAAAAAAGACUAUUUCAAUGAUGGCCCUCCAUGGAUUCACCUAUAUAAGCCGCGGCUAAAGUUGCAAAAAUAAGAGCUUGAAUACCACUUGUAAAUAAUCCAAGGAGCAUGACAGGUAUAGGAACUACUAAGGGUACUAAAGAAACAAGAACAACAACUACUAAUUCAUCAGCUAAGAUAUUCCCGAAAAGUCGAAAACUAAGUGAUAAAGGUUUUGUGAAAUCUUCUAAGAUGUUAAUGGGUAAAAGUAUUGGGGUUGGUUGAAUAUAUUUUCCGAAAUAACCUAAUCCCCUUUUUGUAAGACCCGCAUAGAAAUAUGCCACGGAUGUGAGUAAAGCCAAAGCAACAGUAGUAUUUAUAUCAUUCGUGGGUGCGGCUAACUCCCCAUGAGGUAAUUGUAUGAUUUUCCAAGGUAAAAGAGCUCCUGACCAAUUAGAAACAAAAAUAAAUAAAAACAUAGUGCCAAUAAAAGGAACCCAGGGCCCAUAUUCUUCUCCAAUUUGAGUUUUACUAACAUCUCGAAUGAAUUCAAGAACAUAUUCGAAGAAAUUCUGACCCCCGGUCGGAAUGGUUUGUGGGUUCCGAACAGCUAUAGUGGCUGAACCUAAUAAGAUAGCAAUUACAACCCACGAAGUAAUAAGUACUUGGCCAUGUACUUGGAAACCUCCUAUUUGCCAAUAGAAAUGUUGGCCUACUUCCACACCGGAUAUAUCGUAUAACCCCUUUAGAGUAUUGAUGGAACAUGAUAGAACAUUCAUAUUGCCUUGCCCUCUGAAAAAAUCGAACUUUAAACAAAAUUUUUUGAUUCAACCAUCUCUUUGUCUACUUGAAUCGGAUAUUUUGAAUACCAACUAAGAUUUAGAAUACUAAUAAAUCACAUAAUAUCCCCAGUUAUUUUGAUCUAUUUUUGGAAAUUCAGAAAUAGUAAGCGAUUCCAUAAGGGAUUUCUAGGGAUUUCUGAAGUAAGUUAUUUAUCUUAUUAUGUUAUUAUUAAUCAAGGAUUUCUUAUAUAGCUAGAACGACCCUCACAAAUUGCGAAUACUAAUUUGUUAAGAAUUAAUCGGAUUGAGGAUAUGGCGUCAUCAUUCGCUGGAAUUGAAAUAUCUGCGAGAUCGGGGUCACAAUUUGUAUCGGUUAAACAAAUUGUUGGAAUUCCUAAAGUAAUACACUCUCGCAGGGCCGUAUAUUCUUCGUGCUGAUCAACGAUGAUUACAAUAUCGGGUACCCCUGUCAUAUAUUUAAUACCGCCCAGAUAUGUUUGCAAGCGAGAUAAUUGUCUUUUCAACAUAGCUGCAUCUCUUUUCGGGAGACGGUUGAGUCUCCCUGUUUUUUGUUCCAUUCUCAAGUCCCUGAACUUAUGAAGUCUUGUUUCUGUAGUGGACCAAUUCGUUAACAUACCGCCAAGCCAUUUUUUAUUAACAUAAUGACACCGGGCCCUUAUUGCAGCCCACUCUACUGAAUCAGCUGCUUUAUUUUUGGUACCAACAAUUAAGAAUUGUUUUCCCCUACUUGCUGCGUCAAAAACUAAAUCACAAGCUUCUGAUAAAAAACGAGCAGUUCUAGUAAGAUUUGUAAUAUGAAUACCCUUACGCUUUGCAGAGAUAUAAGGCGCCAUUUUAGGAUUCCAUUUCCUAGUACCAUGACCAAAAUGAACUCCUGCCUCCAUCAUCUCUUCCAAAUUUAUGUUCCAAUAUCUUCUUGUCAUUUCUCCCCACAACCUCCCCCCCUUUUUUUAUUCUUUUUCAAAAAAAAAAAGAGACGAGGAACCCUGAACUGAAAUAAAUAAUUGUUCCGAUGGAACCUUCUCUUCUACUGUAGAUUGGACGUAGAUACACGACCCAAACCAUUAUUCUUUUCUAUUCAUUAUUCUUUUUAUUACCAAAGCAAAUAACCAUACCAAAUGCAGAUAGCGAAAGAGACGAAUCCGUUGUUAGGAAUCAUUAAAUCCUAUAAAUGAUUGUUCGGGUAUGUCGUGGAAUUUUUUUGAAAGACAAGAAUCAAAUAAUUUUCUGUGGUGGAACAAAAUAUCUCUCAUCUCCCCCUCGAAUAGAUUUGUUUUUUUUGUUUCCAAAGGAAUGUUGUUAUGUUGUUUUGAAGGGUGCACUAAUCCCUUGAAUCCGGUACCAACGGGUAUCACCCCCCCCAAAACAACGUUCUCUUUCAGGCCUUUCAACCAAUCGAUACGACCCCGGAGAGCCGCUUUUGCUAAAACUCGAGCAGUUUCUUGAAAACUUGCUUCAGAUAUGAAACUUUGAGUAUUGAGAGAUGCUCUUGUUAUUCCCAAUAAGACGACUCGGUAACAGAUCGCUUCUUCCAAAGCGCGCCCCAUUCGUUCUGCUCGCAACAAUCCAAUAAGUUCUCCGGGUGAAAAAACAUUAGACAUUCCAUCUUCUGAAAUCAACACUUUUGAUGUUAUUUGACGUACAAUAAUUUCUAUAUGCCUAUUAUGAAUCUGCACCCCCUGGGAGCGAUAAACCUGUUGGAUUUUAUUAACCAAAGAGAUUCGGCUUUGCGCUAUAGUUAGCUCAGCACCAAUCAAGAAUCCCCAAGGAAUUCCAAGAAUUCUUGGUAUACAUUUGUUCCAACCCUCAACCCUCUUUUCUAGAUUCAUGGAUAUUGAAUCAAUCGAACGCACUUCUAAGACCUGUUCUACUUUUGGAAGACCCUGUGUUAUAUCACCAGAUCUCGAUUUUUCAUAUAUAAAUGUAACUAAUGUAUCUCCUUCGUAAAGGGUUUCCCCAUAAUGGCCAUGAACAGUUGCUCCGGGGGUGGCCAAAUAAGGCUUAGCUGAUCGUAUCACUAUCGAGUCAACUUGAACAAGUAUAACUUGACCCGAUUUGAGGGGCGGUCCAUUUUUGGCUAUACAUACAUUUUCACAAAUAAACUGUCCAAGACUAAUUAUUUUAGAUGUCUCUGCACAAUAAUAGUGAUGGAGAAAAGACCAAUUCAAAUUGAAUGGAUUUAAAAUAAUGUUACGGCAUGGAUCGGGAUUAAAAAUUUUUCCAUUUUCAUCCAUUAAAUAAUAUUUUAAUUUAAUCACUUGAAAAGUCUGUUUUAAAUUGUCAAGUUGCAAAUAUUUAGUUACUAAGAUCUGAUUAUGAGUUAUUAAAUGGUAAGAUGAAUAAAAAUUCUCAAUUGGAAGGCAUGUUCCUAAAGGGCCCAAUGAAUUCCUAAUUGGAAUUAGGGGAUCUUUUUUAAUUGAUUCUUUUAUCACACUGUGAUAUUUUACAUCUUUGAAUGGCUCCAUUCGAGAACAAUUGGCUGCUGACAAAAUUAUCAACGACUGACAUUCCUUAUUUCUAUUCAACAACGUAUGAAUAGUUCCUUGAGGUUGGUUAAGAGAUUGUUGAAUUUUUGCCUUGGAAUAGGAAUAAAUAGCAGAAAAGGGAUUGAUAUUGGUACAAUCCGAUCCAUUAUCAGAGAGCAAUCCUGACCCCGACGGAUCAUUCCUUUUUCCGAUAUACGAAAUAGGGGAUUUCACUAAGUUGAUUUUUAGGAAAUGUCGAAUCAAACCAUUUGUCCUUAUUUCAACAAAAGAAGCACGGGCUUCUUCGCAAGAAGAACUUUUUUUGUCUUGGUUCCAAUUCAAUACUAAACAAGUCCGAACUAAUUGAAUACUUGUGUCAGAAAUUCCUCGAAUCGGUUUGCCAUUUCCAUAAAGGAUAUAAUUGACAAUUCGAAGUUGCACAUUAUCCCUUUCCUGCAAUGGAUCCGGUGGAAAAAGGGUUCCUAAAUUUAUACCGUCCGUUAUUUCAUAUGUGACGACAGGUCGAACUAAAACAAAAAACCUUUUCUUACUAGGUGUAAUUCGUUGGACAUAGAUCCAAUUUUGAACUUUUUUGUAUUCCUUGGAAUUUCUUUUUCCUGUUCCUGGUGGUAUCAAAACGCCGGUAUGCCUGGAUAUCUUAUCCGUCUCUCCAGGAAAAUGGAUAUCUCCAGAAAAGAUUUUCAGUUCAAUUCGUUUUUUUUUUUCUCUCCACCCGGACCAACCCACCGACUCGGCUUCUUAGAUUUAAGGUGAUUUGUGUAUCGACCCCAACGAUACUAUUGUUCCGUACCAUUAGGGAAGAAGAUCCGGGCAAGAUAUGCACCUCUUCAGGAAUGAAAAAAAAUCGAUCUACUUUCAUUUGGUAUUUUGGCCUAAAUUCCUUGACUCCUCGAUACUCAAUCAAAUCCUCUUUUUUGAUGACUGAAUGCGUUUCUAUAGUCCCAUAUUUAAUAAUGCCCGAACUCUUUCUUCUGUAUCGAGGAUCAUCGAAAUAAGCAAGAAUACUAUUUCGACGGAAAAUACCAUUUACGGGGAUUUCAAUCGAGAUACCUGAACAGGGCAUUAGUUCAUUCUCGAGUUCUUGAAUCGAGUGUAGUGGAAUGAUGAAUUUAUUUCUUCGCCUUUUUGACAAUAAAGCAGAAUUCCCGUGAAGAAUAGGCGAAUAUACGAGAUUAUACUGGCCAGUACAUAUGAUUCGAUUAAGGUCUGAAUAAUCAGGAAUCCUAUCUUCUUUUUGACCAUAAAAAUCCGAACUAAACAAUUUCUGCCUCGCCUGAUCAUUGGUUACUGAGAGGUUAGAAGUAUAUCUUCGCUUGCCAGAAAGAGAAUGCGCAUUCAUUUGAUCCUGAUCCUUGUGGAUCGAAAGGUAGACUAGACUGGACCUGCACGGCCCUCCUAAUAAUAUCCAUAAAUGACUUGUUUUUGGUAAUAGAUGAACAUUACCAUAUGUAAAUUCGGGUGCAUGAUAGACAUCGGUACUCCAGUGCAUUUCUCCGUCUGAAUCAGAAUAAAUAUGUUUUCGAACCUUCUCUUUAAAAUUCAAAGUGGAUAUUCCUGCGCGAAUCUCAGCAAUUACUUGUUCUGAUUCUACGUAUUGAUCGUUUUGAACUAAAAGCAAACUUUUGGGUGGAAUAUUCACAUUAUGUAGAAUAUCUUCACUCUCAAUAGUUACAUACAAGUCUAUAGAACAUAGAAAGGCGGGAUGCCCAUGACGUGUACGUGUCGGAUGAACCAAGUCCUCAUUGAAUUUUAUUUUUCCAUUAGAUGGGGCUCGCACAUGUUCUGCAGUACCCCCCGUGAAUACUCCUCCGGUAUGAAAAGUUCGUAAUGUUAAUUGAGUACCCGGUUCUCCAAUCGAUUGACCUGCAAUAAUACCUACAGCUUCCCCCAAUUCAACCAGGUCGCCAUGAGUAGGACUACGCCCAUAACAUAAUCGACAAAUCCAAGAUGUACUCCUACAAGUAAAGGGAGUUCGAAUAGAGAUUGGUUGUGCCCGAAAGGUUAUGAAUCGAUUUACAAGUCCAAUGCCAAUGGCUUGGUUUCUAGUGGCAAUACAUCGUGAACCCAUGUAUAUAUCAUCUGCUAAUACACGGCCAAUUAAUGUUUGACUAAAAAUCCUUUCCGGCAUUAUCCCAUUCCGAGGACUCACAGAAAUACCCCGGGCGGUGCCACAAUCCGUUCGACGUACAACAAUGUGUUGAACUACUUCAACAAGUCUGCGAGUGAGAUAUCCAGCGUCUGAUGUUCGUACAGCAGUAUCCACAACUCCUUUACGGGCUCCGUAGCAAGAAAUGAUGUAUUCUGUUAAAGAGAGUCCUUCGCGUAAAUUGCUUUGAAUAGGUAAAUCAAUCAUUUGUCCUUGAGGAUCCGACAUUAAUCCUCUCAUACCUACUAAUUGAUGUACCUGAGAUGCAUUUCCUCGAGCUCCCGAGAAAGACAUUAUAUGAACUGGAUUAAAAGGGUCAGUCAUCCUAAAAUUCGGAUUCAUUUCUUGGCGCAAAUAUUCACUUGUAGCAUACCAUAUUUCAAUGGAUUGACGUAAUUUUUCUACCGCGUGUACAUUUCCAUACUGAUGGUGUUUUUCCAAAAUCAAACUUUGUUGUUCAGCAUCUUGAACUAGCCAUCCCUUAGAAGGUAUUGUUAAAAGAUCAUCAAUUCCUAAUGAAAUGGAUGUAGCAGUAGCUUGUUGGAACCCCAGAGUUUUUACUUGAUCCAGGAUAUGUGAUGUAUAUGCCAUUCCGAAGUGCUCUAUUAAUCUACUAAUAAGUCGUUUCAUGGCAGUUCCGUCUAUCGCUUUAUUGUGAAAGACCAGAUUGGCCCGUUCUGCCAUAAGUACCUCCAUAUUCCGCUGAGUAGGAUUCGACAAUGGGUUUGAGUCGGUGAUUGUAAAACUUCCUUUUAUCGAUCUUGAUUCGCGUAUAAAUUCCGGAACUAUGGACCUAGCUGAACCGGAGAGCCCCGAAGUCCCACGGUAUCAUAGAAUUAGGUAGCAUAUGAAUAGGCCCGAGAAAACCCCUGUAUAGCUUCUUCGAUUUCUCGAUAAAGAGCAAUAUGACCAACAGUGGUUCGAAUGUAUAUAAAAAGUAUUUUUUUUUUAGACUUCUUACUAUUAGAUAGUGUCCAUAAAUCUCAUAAAAAGUACCUAAAGAUUCAUAGUGAACUUCGAUGGGAGUUUCUCUUGAAGCAAUAACGCGUUGAUCUAGUCGCCACCGGAGCCACAAAGGACUAUCUAAAUUGAUUCGUUUCUGCCGAUAAGCCCCAAUUGCAUCAUAGGAAUUCGAAAAAAAGGGUUCUUUCGUAUACUUAUAGUAACUAUUGUCACUUCUUUUUUGAUUUUGAUAGUUUCUGCGAUUACAUGGAUUAUAUCUAUUUACACAAAUACCUCGAUGAUUUCCGCUCGUUAAUACAUAGAGUCCAAUAAGCAUAUCUUGCGUUGGCACGGAAAUGGGAUCCCCAAUAGCCGGAGACAAAAGAUUCAUAUGAGAAAACAUAAGUAAACGGGCCUCUACUUGAGCCUCCAAGGAUAAAGGUACAUGAACAGCCAUUUGAUCUCCAUCAAAAUCGGCAUUGAAUCCCUUGCAAACUAAUGGAUGUAAACAAAUAGCGCGCCCCUCCACUAAAACGGGCUGGAAUGCCUGUAUGCCUAAUCUAUGCAGCGUAGGUGCUCUAUUCAGCAAUACAGGGUGUCCCUGCAUAACUUCUUGAAGGAUUUCCCAUACAAUCGGCUCUUUUUCUCGAAUUUUACUCUUAGCAACUCCUAUGUUCGAAGCAAGAUGUUGUCU
rnacentral:lncRNA from 1 species